rnacentral:rRNA from 1 species
GGACGGGUGAGUAACGCGUGAGUAACCUGCCUCUAAGAGGGGAAUAACAUUCUGAAAAGAAUGCUAAUACCGCAUAACAUAUAUUUAUCGCAUGGUAGAUAUAUCAAAGAUUUAUCGCUUAGGGAUGGACUCGCGUCCGAUUAGUUAGUUGGUGAGGUAACGGCUCACCAAGACUGCGAUCGGUAGCCGGACUGAGAGGUUGAACGGCCACAUUGGGACUGAGACACGGCCCAGACUCCUACGGGAGGCAGCAGUGGGGGAUAUUGCGCAAUGGGGGAAACCCUGACGCAGCAACGCCGCGUGAAGGAUGAAGGUCUUCGGAUUGUAAACUUCUUUUAUU